UUUGGCUUCUAAGGCACAUAAAUGUGU
rnacentral:piRNA from 1 species